CUUUAGUAUCUCUAAAAGGUUAUACUUUAGUAUCUCUAAAAGGUUAUACUUUAGUAUCUCUCAAAGGUUAUACUUUAGUAUCUCUAAAAGGUUAUGUGAUUAACUGGAUAAUAAUGGGAUAUACUUUAGUAUCUCUAAAAGGUUA